rnacentral:tRNA from 1 species
GGAGGAUUACCCAAGUCCGGCUGAAGGGAACGGUCUUGGAAACCGACAAAGGAGUAAAAGAGUGGGUGGGUUCGAAUCCCACAUCCUCCU